UUUAUCGGAGAGUUUGAUCCUGGCUCAGGAUGAACGCUGGCGGCGUGCCUAAUACAUGCAAGUCGAGCGAAUGGAUUGAGAGCUUGCUCU
rnacentral:rRNA from 1 species